rnacentral:rRNA from 1 species
GACCCCUAAUCGGAAAAGACCACCCGCUGAGUUUAA